rnacentral:rRNA from 1 species
AUUGAACGCUGGCGGCAGGCCUAACACAUGCAAGUCGAGCGAGCGGCGGACGGGUGAGUAAUGUCUGGGAAACUGCCUGAUGGAGGGGGAUAACUACUGGAAACGGUAGCUAAUACCGCAUACCAUCAGAUGUGCCCAGAUGGGGUUAGCUAGUAGGUGGGGUAACGGCCCACCUAGGGGACGAUCCCUAGCUGGUCUAGGAGGAUGACCAGCGACACUGUAACGAAGACACGGGGCAGAUUCCUACAGGAGACAGCCGUGGGGAUUAUUGCAGAAUGAUAGCAAGCCAAGUACAGCCAUAGCGAGGGAGUGAAGAAGACCUUCAAUUUGUAAAGGACGUUAGGCAGGAAGAGAAUACCCGCAGAGGAAGCAGCGGCUAACUCCGUGCCAGCAGCCGCGGUAAUAC